GGUCCCGUAGUGUAGCGGUUAUCACGUCGCCCUGUCGCGGCGAAGAUCGCGGGUUCGAUUCCCGUCGGGACCG
rnacentral:tRNA from 1 species